ACUCAAAGGAAUUGACGGGGACCCGCACAAGCGGUGGAUGAUGUGGUUUAAUUUGACGAUACGCGAAGAACCUUACCGAGGCUUGACAUCCUAGGAACCCUGUAGAAAUACGGGGGUGCCCUUGGGAGCCUAGUGACAGGUGCUGCAUGGCCGUCGUCAGCUCGUGUCGUGAGAUGUUGGGUUAAGUCCCGCAACGAGCGCAACCCUUGUCGUAUGUUGAAUUUUUCAUGCGAGACUGCCCGGGCCAACCGGGAGGAAGGUGGGGAUGACGUCAGGUCAGCAUGGCCCUUACGCCUCGGGCUACACACGUCAUACAAUGGCCAGUACAACGCGUUGCCAAGCCGCAAGGCGGAGCUAAUCGCACCAAAACUGGUCUCAGUUCGGAUUGGAGGCUGCAACUCGCCUCCAUGAAGUCGGAAUCGCUAGUAAACGUAGGUCAGCAUACUACGUUGAAUACGUUCCCGGGUCUUGUACACACCGCCCGU
rnacentral:rRNA from 1 species